rnacentral:lncRNA from 1 species
GAACACCUUGCAAAGUAUGGUGUAUAUAAGCUUCUCCUGCAGCACAUCAUGUUAUUUGCUCUUCUUCUCUGGAUCUGUUUACAGAGAGCAGACUUUCUUUUAAUUGGCAAAGUGAUAAUGUGGUCUCUGUUGCUUAGAGCUGUUUGGCUGGUGAUAAAUAGAUGCUCAAAGUUCCCUUCAUUGUUGCAAUAUUUGAAGGCCCCUUCAAUCUCUGCUCUUCUUUCUGCCCUGAAACCUCCUGAGAACCUGCCUCUGCUUCCCGUUGCUUCCCUGCUUUGCACUGUGUCCUCUCUGCAGUGCUACUGCGUGGACCCAAGCCUUCCCCUGGCAGCUCCUUCCUGCAGUGCCAGUGGGCAUCUUAAAAACGCUGCAACUGCUUCUUCUGGAAGGAGAAUCAAUAUAUAUAUCAUGUAACCUGCUCAGGCCUGCGGCGAAGAUAGGCAUAGCCUGACAUAAAAGGAGAGAAACAUGAAAACAUGACAAUCUUGGAGAACAUUUAUGUUUUGGAUACGUAAUAGUCACAGUCUGAGGUGGUUUCCAUUCUGUGUUGUAAUGAAUAUGUAUAUGGUAACAAUACACUGGUUUUUGUUUCAAAAAAUUUAAUAUUUCAAUUACUACGAAAAAGCAAGGUCUGCCACCCGAUCCAUGGUAAAUGUUGUAGAACAUUUUUGUAUGGUUUCCUGGCUAAAGCAAAAGUCUAUUUUAAAGUUAUUAAAGUUCUAUAAUGAGCUACCUUUCCAAGCUCACCGAUAAAAGUAUAAUAUUCUGUGGCUCAAUGUAAUAAUUCAGUGAAAUUAACCAAGUAAGUGGUCAAUGAAGCAAAUGAUUAAAAAGAGGACUGAAAAAUGAAGAUUAGAAGGGAUAAAAUUGUAUUUGUUAUUACUGUGAAUUUUGUAGGUCAUAAUUAAAGCCCACUGCACAAAAAGGAAAAACACCCUUUUAAAAUGCAAAAAAAAAAAAAAAAGUAUGUAAGGGUGCUUACAUUUUUGGCCACGGUAUCAAUCUGUGUAGCGUUGCUGACUUAAUGCAGCAUUUGUACCAGGAAGCAACAGUCCUACACUCAUCUCUGCUUCCAUUGCUACAACAUAGAUGAUUGCCUAGGUUCACUGGUGACCUUAAUCUCUUAUAUUCCAGAUAAGCACUUCUAAGUAUACAAAUUGUCAAAACUGGAAGUGUUAGCUAGAACACCUGCUCACUUUACAUCUGUAUAUGCAAAGAGGAUUAUGAGGUUUAGAAAGUUUGCAGGAGAAUCUGGAAACCAGGGAAAAGGUGAAUAAAUUACUGAAAUGGUUUUAGGUGGCUAUUCUA